rnacentral:rRNA from 1 species
GAUUGAGUUUGAUCCUGGCUCAAGAUGAACGCUGGCGGCGUGCUUAACACAUGCAAGUCGAACGGAGAUAUCAUUUUCGAAGCGAUUAGUUUACUAAGAGCGGAGAUGUUGGUAUCUUAGUGGCGGACGGGUGAGUAACGCGUGGGUAACCUGCCUUACACUGGGGGAUAACACUUAGAAAUAGGUGCUAAUACCGCAUAACAGGAGAAGAUGCAUGUCUUUUCCUUAAAAACUCCGGUGGUGUAAGAUGGACCCGCGUCUGAUUAGCUGGUUGGCGGGGUAACGGCCCACCAAGGCGACGAUCAGUAGCCGGCCUGAGAGGGUGAACGGCCACAUUGGGACUGAGACACGGCCCAAACUCCUACGGGAGGCAGCAGUGGGGAAUAUUGGACAAUGGGGGGAACCCUGAUCCAGCGACGCCGCGUGAGUGAAGAAGUAUUUCGGUAUGUAAAGCUCUAUCAGCAGGGAAGAAAGAAAUGACGGUACCUGACUAAGAAGCCCCGGCUAACUACGUGCCAGCAGCCGCGGUAAUACGUAGGGGGCAAGCGUUAUCCGGAUUUACUGGGUGUAAAGGGAGCGUAGACGGCGAUGCAAGUCUGAAGUGAAAGGCGGGGGCCCAACCCCCGGACUGCUUUGGAAACUGUAUAGCUGGAGUGCANGAGAGGGUAGUGGAAUUCCUAGUGUAGCGGUGAAAUGCGUA